AGUAAAUAUGAAGCAAUUGAUAGCACUUCUCCCCAAAAAUUCAGAGGCAAGUCUACAUGGGACAUCACCGAUCUUGUCAUCUCCAUUAGGGUUCUACUUCUUCUUUCUGCGAUGCCAUUUUGUUGUGGUAUAUAUGACAUAGUAUAAUUGUGUCUUAUGCCAUGUUCUUUUCUUUGCAGAACUCUCCCUAAUUGAGUUUCUACUUCUUUCUUAAAUUUCUUGAAUUUUUCCAAGGCGUCCGAUUUAUUUUUCAAGAAGUAGACAUACCCAUUACGCACUACAAAAAAUAAUUGCAACCGCUACCCCAGUUGGCGUCGGCAUCCUUUUGCCGUCGCUAAAAAUUGACUAUUUGCUUCGGCAAAGUUACGCCGUCGCAAAACUUGCGACUGAAUUACUACGCCGUGGCAAUGGGGUAGCCAAAAGUAGCCUAUUUUUCUUCGGCGAACGUUUGCAGUCGCAAAUUUCCAUACUUGGCGACUGCGUCUACAAUGCCGUCGCAUGAGAGAACAGCUACGUACGAGCCCAAUUCUCUUAUUAAAUCUAUUUUCUAAUCAAAAAGCCCUAACCUAUUUCCCUCAAUCUCUGUUCGAUCUCUACCGCAACCCUCUUUCUCUUCCUCUUCGUUCUGGAUCUAACCCAACAAAUAACAUCGCAGAACUUGGUGGCCACUGUGUUGGUCUAAAUCCAGGGAUUAUUCUUUUUGGUUAUUUCAAUUUGGUUUUCUCUUCAGUCGUUCCUCUCUCUCUCUCUUUGAAUCCGAUUCAACUCAGAUGCGUCCAAUUUAAUGGCUGUGUCAUUCGUGAGAGAUUCGUUCUGUCCGAGCGGAAUUCAUGAGGAAUUUCGAUUGAACUCGGAUGCGUUCUCUUCUCUGUUCUCGGAAAGUUCGCAUCUUGUUGGCUACUAUUUGGUUGGAGCGCAAGGAUUCCCUAGCUGGAGCAGUACUUUUGGCCUUAAGGCAACAUUGUUAUGGAGAAAUUUGAGAGGAGGGGCAUGAAGUAACAAACCAAGUAGGGGAACAUAUCACCUCAAGUACGAUUCUGGAUUACUCGCAGCAGCCCCCUAUUCAGGAACUAAUUGGAAGGGAUCUUCAUGAUAUAUAAUGAAUGGAAAUUCAGACAUAUUUCGAGGAGGCUUGCAACAACACUAGAGUAAUUGGUACAUGAAGUAGAUCGAGGAAGAUCCCUGCAAAGUUCAUCUUGAAGUAGAGGAAAAUAACUAACUUGUAAAGCUUAAUUAUCGAUCUUGUAAAUUUUGGUAGAAGCUUCAAUAUUCAUUUUGUAACAUUUAUGAGGAAAAUUAAAGUGUAACAUUUCCUUUUAUAUAAGCUUCAUUCCUUUU